GAAAUGCGAUAAGUAGUGUGAAUUGCAGAAUUCAGUGAAUCAUCGAAUCUUUAAACGCACAUUGCGCCCCUUGGUAUUCCAUGGGGCAUGCCUGUUCGAGCGUCAUUUGUACCCUCAAGCUCUGCUUGGUGUUGGGUGUUUGUCCCCGUCUCCGCGCGUGGACUCGCCCCAAAGUGAUUGGCAGCCGGCGUACUGGUCCCGGAGCGCAGCACAUGUCGCGCAAACGAGUGCCUUGGUACGGCGGCGUCCAUAAGCCCCUCUCUCACGCUCUUGACCUCGGAUCAGGUAGGGAUACCCGCUGAACUUAAGC
rnacentral:misc_RNA from 1 species